UGGCUUAGUAGUAGAGUGCUUGCCUAGCAUGCAUGAGGCCCUAGGUUCGAUUCCUUG
rnacentral:tRNA from 1 species